CAAAAAAAAAAACAAGAAAAAACAACAACAACAACAAAAAAAAAAACAGUAGGGCAAGAGCUGGGAUGGCUUGUGGGGCUCCAAUGACAGCAGUGAAUGUAGAGGGGCUCCAGGACCCCAGCCUCGGCACCUGGCUCACCCAGGGUCAUGUGAAGGAAUUGGGAAGAUUUCUCUAUCAGAGACGCUCCACAGUGGGGGCGAUCUGCUCAGGGGCCGCCCUCCCCAGGAGGCCACAAGCUCGUACCGUUGCUGUGGGUGCCGGCAGAGCCGGCAGUACAGCUGGCAUCUGAUUUACACACAGUGGUCGCAUCUGGAAUCUCGGGGCACAGGCCCUGUGUCUGGUUCAUGGUGAGGAUCACGUUGGUCAUGACGAAGAGGGAGUUUUCCUCCUGCAGAGGGGAGACAGCACGGGCAAGCCACGCUCAGAGGACUCACGGAGAGCCAAGAAAGGCAGACGCUGACUGAAGAGGACAACUCAAACACUGACCGCGUGCUCUCCCGCUCUCUCCCAUCAAAGUUUAUAACCCAAUGGAAAACAGUGACUCAAACAAGUCCUUGUACAUAAAUAUUCAGAGCAACACUUUUCACAAGAGCCAAAAGGUGGAAACAGGUCGGGC
rnacentral:lncRNA from 1 species